rnacentral:rRNA from 1 species
AAAUUGAAGAGUUUGAUCAUGGCUCAGAUUGAACGCUGGCGGCAGGCCUAACACAUGCAAGUCGAACGGUAACAGGAAGCAGCUUGCUGCUUCGCUGACGAGUGGCGGACGGGUGAGUAAUGUCUGGGAAACUGCCUGAUGGAGGGGGAUAACUACUGGAAACGGUGGCUAAUACCGCAUAACGUCGCAAGACCAAAGAGGGGGACCUUCGGGCCUCUUGCCAUCAGAUGUGCCCUGAU